GGUCGACUUUAGGAAAACGGCGCUUUAUCAUCCCAGCCAUAUAUAUCUCGGCUUCAUCAGCCGAUUCUUUACUUUUAUUCGAUUCGUUCGACUCUUCUUGAACCGAAUGUUUUUCUAUCAAGAAAUUCUUCUUAAAGAAAGUGGCUAUAUCUCGGCUUCAUCAGCCGAUUCUUCACUUUCACUCGAUUGGCUCGGCUCUUCUUGAACUGACUGUUCCUCUAGCAAGGAUUUCUCCUUGCCUUUGCUUUGAUUUUUAUAUCGGCUCCAUUGCAGCCGAUCGUCCUCACUUUUCUUCUAGAAUUACUUGUAUUGGGCAACUCGAACACCUAGAUCAAAUAGGUUAGAAAAAUACUUAUCUUCAAAAUAGUCUUUUAUCUUAAAAUGCAGACCAUUUAAUGCUAUUUUGGCGAACUCU
rnacentral:lncRNA from 1 species